UGGGGAAUAUUGGACAAUGGGGGAAACCCUGAUCCAGCAAUGCCGCGUGAGUGAAGAAGGCCUUAGGGUUGUAAAGCUCUUUCAGUAGGGACGAUGAUGACGGUACCUACAGAAGAAGCCCCGGCUAACUCCGUGCCAGCAGCCGCGGUAAGACGGAGGGGGCUAGCGUUGUUCGGAAUUACUGGGCGUAAAGGGCGCGUAGGCGGCAAAUCAAGUUAGGCGUGAAAUCCCUGGGCUUAACCCAGGAACUGCGUUUAAUACUGGUUAGCUAGAGAUUGGUAGAGGAAAGUGGAAUUCCUAGUGUAGAGGUGAAAUUCGUAGAUAUUAGGAAGAACACCAGAGGCGAAGGCGACUUUCUGGGCCAAUACUGACGCUGAGGCGCGAAAGCGUGGGGAGCAAACAGG
rnacentral:rRNA from 1 species